GAGGCAAUAUGAACAGGCCACAGCACAUCACUGGGACCCAGCACACUGGGUCUUUUUGUUCCCACUGCACACUCUUCUGCUUUAGAGCCUUUGCAUCUCUUCCACCAGGACCACACGUGGCUGGUUACAUAUUGUUAUUCGAUUAUCAGCUGAAAUAUCACCUGUGGUAAUUAAUUUGAUGAGUCAACUUGGGUAGGCUACAGUGCUCACUUGCCUGGUCAAAUAAGAGCAAAACCAACUUGCUUGGUCUUCAUUGCCGUGAAGAUAAAUUAGGUGGGAUUAGCAUUUAAGUCAGUAGACUUUGAGUAAAACAUCUCAUCCUCCAUAAUAUGAGCGAGGCUCAUCCAACAGUUGAAGACCUUAAGAGAAAAGACUGAGGUCCCCGAAGAAGAAGAAAUUCUGCCUGCAGACUGAUUUCAGAUGCAGUAGUACAACAUCAAUCCUUCCUUGGGUUUCCAGCCUGCUGGUCUGCCCUGCAGAUUUCAGACUUGCCUGCUCCCACAGUCAUGUUUUGGACCUUUACCUAGCUUCCAACUGCCUUCUUCCACCAACAUUACUGUGGUACUCUCAUGUAUGACUUUCCCAUUUUACCAGCUUAAUAAAUGGUUCUCAGCCUGAGCAAACUGAAGCAAACUAUUGGGCAUUCCCAUUUUCAUUUCUGAAGUGACUGCUCAAAUCUUUAUUUCAUUUUAUGCCGAUGCCUCGGGAGCUGACCUAGGAUAAAUGGAAGCUACCAACUGCCAACUGUGCUGUCAGCUGUGUGGCCGGGUCAAAGGUGCUGGCUGAGCUUGCAAAUUCUGAAGGUUUGCCAGCAGUGAAGGUAUUUGCCUUAGAGGGAAAUGAUGCCUUGUACAUAUCUCAUCCCACAGUGCUGCUGAAUGCGUCCAUUUCAGGCAAUGCCCAAUUUGGAGAAAAGAAGAAGUGCAAAAAAAGAUGUUUCUUUGACCUCACCGCAAAUACGUAAAACCACCUGCAGAUCCACAGCCACUCUAAUCUUUGCCUUGGGCACACCCUUUUGCUUUAACAGUAGAGAAGAAACAAGUUUCUGUUCCCUCCGAGUGCUGGGAAGUGGCAUGACAGCUGGUUUCCAUGAGCAGAGCACAUACUCCAACCCUGCAAAGAAAAAACUCCCCACAAUGCUCUUUUAUCUAUUAAACUAAAGGGGGUUUUAUUACACUUUUGUACAUUCAAUACAUUUAUCUAAAUUUUUCUCGCAUUGAAUUAUUGUCAAGAAAAGGCUGUUCUUGCAUAUAUAUAUGUGUGUGUAUAUAUAUAUGUACUUGUGAUCAUGCAUAACUUAAAUGCUAAAUUUCUGAUUUUUUUGGAGAGGAUAACAUUUAGAAAAAAAUCUAUUGACUAAACAAAAAUCAUUUGACACAUGAGGUCAAACCUUAAUUUAGCUGUAGGAAUCAUUGUCGUAUCAAUGUGGAAGUAGAAAUAGCACUAAAAGAAUGUUCUUUUUCUCCUGAAAGAUGCACCCUCUGACCCACUUUGUGACACAUAGUGAGGAGUUCAGUAACUAUAAAUGUUACCGAUGACUCUUAUCCUUGGUUUAACUCUGGGUUCUUCUAAAUGCUUAUGUAGAGUACAAAUUAUCUGCUGAAGAGUAGCCAAGGUUGCCAAGUGAACAGCACUGAAGACGUCAGAAGGGAGUGAAGUUUGGAAGUGAAACAGCAGCCUUUAAAUAGCCCGACAACACACAUCAUGAGAUGACUUCAGUGGAUCUCCCAUCACUACGGAUUGGCUGUAAAGGAAAAAUCCUCUUAAGUGUUUAAUCCAGAAGAUAACUUUUUAUUCAAUUACUACCAGUAUAAUUACUAUACUAUUGUUCAAGAUUUUAUUCGUUCUUCCUUUUUUUGUCCACUUUGUCUUUUCUUCCUCUAGAAAUUCAGAACCUGAAUGAUUUCUCAUUUGAGUCAAUUUUGAUCACUGCAAUCAUUAAAUUAGACAUAAUUUAGAAACUUCUAAUGAAAAAAGAACAUAAUUAAGCCAAAUUAUCAGAAGUUUUAAGGAUUGAAAAUAUUAUCAAACAAUUUUUAAUAGUAUUUUUUCUAAUAAAAAUUCUGAGACAUUGGAUGAAUUAAGAUCUAUUGAUAUGAAAGAAUGCUCAUGUAACUAUGGAAAAGAAAUUAACAUUUAGUUAGUGUUCUAAUAUGCCAAGCAUUAUGCAUAUUAAACUAAGCAUUUUCCAUAUUUUUUCUCAUUUACUCUUUUUUACUGCCUUACAAAAUAUGUGUUAUUGUCCCCAGUCUACAGGGCAGAAAACUGGAAAUUCACAAAGAUUAAAGUAUUCAAGUUUAGAAAGAAACUGUUUUUAAGUGACAGAAUCCGGAUUAAAAUCCAGGUCUGCUGACCCCGAGGCUCUUUCUCUUUCCAUUUUAUCCCAUAGGAUUUUCCACUCAGCCAAAAAUUGAACUUUAAAUUUUUACAUAUUUUUAAAUUUAAAUAUAUUUUUCCUCAUUAACAACAAAAAAAUGGAAAAGAAGAAUUAUAAUUGGUAACAUUGACAUCAAUUUUUAAAAAUAUUUGUUUCAUGCAAUAAUAAAAAUUGUUUUUCUUUUAAUAGUAAAUGAUUUGAGUGAAAAAGUUAUCACCAUUGUAAAUAAAACAUAGCUUAAUUGACUUUAAUAUUGCUAGCAAAAUUAAAUUUGUACUAGGCUCAUAGAAUAA
ensembl:lncRNA novel transcript